rnacentral:lncRNA from 1 species
AAAAUGUAUUAGCAGGAAAAAGCUGAGCUUUAUUGUGGUUAUUUUGAGAACUAAACCUGGGGAUGGCAGAAAAUGGGAUGGAGAACAGAAAUGUACCUGCAAGUGCUUACUUAGAUGAAAUAUCAUUCCAAAUGCCUUUAUUAAAUGGAAAAUCCCUCUAUCAGGCAAUACUCAAAUCCUUUCCAAUCUUUGAGUAUUGUUGGAGUACAAGCUCACCAUCUAUUAAUGUUAUUGCUUAAUUAUAAGCUUAUAGUCGGGUAUUGCGGUCAUGCCAUAAACCUGUCUCAAGUCAAGAUUGCACUUUUAUUACAGGAUCUAAUUCAGAAGUGUGAAGAGGACCUUUGUCAGCUGUCAAAAAGAUGUGAUGAAAUGAAGAAACUCUAUGGUGACAUUCCGGAGCAGUUUGGGGAACGGCCAGACCAGGACUCCCAAGAACUCUUUGGAUGGAUAUCUGCCUUUGUUAGAGAAUUUAGAAAAGCCCAAUCAGAUCUGAAUCUUCAAGUGCUGAAGUAGCCAUCACAGCAACUCUUCCUCUUUCUCAUCAGUUAUGGGCCUGUGAUCAUGGAAUGCUUUAUCGAUGCUUUUGCUUUAUCUAUGCUGUUUAUGAAGAUGUCACUAAAAUGGUGCCAUAUUUCCCCUCAGUAAUGUUCUUAUGUUCAUUGAAUUAAAGAUGAAGGUCAUCAGUGGGCCAGC